AGCAAGCUGAUUAUACAGGGAAAAGCUUCCAUCUAAAUACACAUAGCAUAGCAAUCACCCUUGGAAAAACUACAUGGCUUACCGAAAGAGUUCUUUCUGUUCACUGUCCAUUAUCUGUUGACGGUAGUAGUUCAAAUGAAUAGCAAAUAAUGACCAAAUUACCAGCUUAUAUUUAGCAAUAGGGCCUUCCUAUAUUUAAAGAAAAAUUCAAGGAGAAAGUACAAAAAUACAGAAAAUUCAGACAUGAACUCUUCAGAAUUCACUUCUCCAGGCUAGACACAUUCAAGACAAGAACAUCACUGCAGGUGUCCAGAGCCACCCACGGGCUGCUGCAGAGGCUAAGCUUCCAAGAGAAGAGAAUGUUCCCAUAGCUGAGCUAGACCAUGUCAUGGACCAAGACCAAAGCUACCAUAAAAUAUGGAGAACCAAAGAAAGGACUCAAGACUGGGACUUUGAGUCCUUACAUCAAGUAUUUGAUUUUUAUACCUGUCUCCUCCACUCAACUAUUAGCUACUUGAGGGCAGGAAUUGUCUCUUGCUCAUUUCUGUAUUCUUGUCACCUGGUAUAUUAUAAAAACCCAAUAAACAUUUAUUAAAUAA